UAUCAUCCAGUUAAAUAUAAA
rnacentral:piRNA from 1 species